CUUUUUUUUUUUUUUUAUCCUUCCUUUCUUCUUUCUAAAAUGUACUCACAAGCAGGGUCUUUUCAUAGUUCAAAAGAAAAACAAAUAGCUUUCUUUCUUGGCUAGUUGGCCUGUUACUCUCACCCUGGAAUCUGAUCUCUCAAUAAGAGGGCCCAGGGCACCAAAUUCAAGCAGAAAUUCCAAGGACAUCACUUUACUUGUCAUUCUAUGAAGGUAAGGAUGCUUUAGUCUUUCUAUGAGGGAGACAAUCUUCUGGGAUUAUUACACCAGUCAAUAGUCCCAGGAGGGUGGGUCGGUGGGUGGAAAGGAGGGUUGAAGGCAAUAGCUAAGGGGUAAGGGAAAAGAAUUUCUUUCUAUCAUCAGGUCUAGUUCUUUAAAGCAUGAUCGUGCAAUGAAAUGUUGCCAUGAGUGGUGACCAAUAUUAGAAAGAAAAAUAUUUGUUUGUCUUACAGUUGCUUGACUCUGAAGAUUCUGAGCUGUCCCAGCCCAUGUCUAUGAAGGAUUAUAAAGAGCCCUCAAUUCACCUGUGCUCUCCCAAGAGAGAGCUAGCACAUUAUAGGGUGGUGGCAACCACCAUUUUUAGCACCAACUGCUGAAAGAUAGAAAAGAAAAGAAUUGAGGAUUCUCGGAAGAGAGAAGACUUGAAGUGAGCCACAUCUUGGAUUCAUUCGAGGCCUCUGUGUUGCUCCACUGGAUGAAGCUGACUGCCCUGGCAAUAUGACUGUGACUACACAGCUUGGAAUGAAGUAGGCUUUUUUGGACCACUGGAUUUAAGAAGAGUUCUGGAUUGGUGUAUAGAAGAUGCGAGGAAGCAAGAGACAGACUACAAAAUGAUGCUAAGCAGAACUAGAAAGAAAUGUAAUAAUCAUCUUAGUCAACUCACUCAAUUUCUGGUGUCUGGUAUGUGUGUGUGUGUGUGUGUAUUAGGGGUGGAGAGCAAGG
rnacentral:lncRNA from 1 species